rnacentral:rRNA from 1 species
UGAGGAAUAUUGCGCAAUGGGGGAAACCCUGACGCAGCCACGCCGCGUGGAGGAUGACACUGCUCUGCAGCGUAAACUCCUUUUGUAAGGGAAGAACAGCGCGGUCGCCGCGCCUGACGGUACCUUACGAAUAAGCACCGGCUAACUCCGUGCCAGCAGCCGCGGUAAUACGGAGGGUGCAAGCGUUGUCCGGAAUCACUGGGUGUAAAGGGUGUGUAGGCGGGACGGUAAGUCGAGGGUGAAAGCCCGCAGCUUAACUGCGGAACUGCCCUUGAUACUGCCGACCUUGAGUCCCGGAGAGGUGGCUGGAAUUCGUGGUGUAGCGGUGAAAUGCGUAGAUAUCACGAGGAACACCAAAGGCGUAGGCAGGUCACUGGACGGGUACUGACGCUGAGGCACGAAAGUGUGGGGAGCAAACAGGAUUAGAUACCCUGGUAGUCCACACUGUAAACGAUGGACGCUUGGUGUUGCGGCAAUUUUGCUGCAGUGCCUAAGCAAAACGCGUUAAGCGUCCCACCUGGGGAGUACGCUCGCAAGAGUG